rnacentral:rRNA from 1 species
UACGUAGGGUGCAAGCGUUAAUCGGAAUUACUGGGCGUAAAGCGUGCGCAGGCAGUAAUGUAAGACAGUUGUGAAAUCCCCGGGCUCAACCUGGGAACUGCAUCUGUGACUGCAUUGCUGGAGUACGGCAGAGGGGGAUGGAAUUCCGCGUGUAGCAGUGAAAUGCGUAGAUAUGCGGAGGAACACCGAUGGCGAAGGCAAUCCCCUGGGCCUGUACUGACGCUCAUGCACGAAAGCGUGGGGAGCAAACAGG